ACAGGUGCUGCAUGGCUGUCGUCAGCUCGUGCCGUGAGGUGUUGGUUAAGUCCCGCAACGAGCGCAACCCCUAUCUUUAGUUGCCAUCAGGUUCGGCUGGGCACUCUAUGGAGACUGCCACCUAAAGUGGAGGAAGGUGGGGAUGACGUCAAGUCAGCAUGGCCCUUACUCCGGGGCUACACACGUGCUACAAUGGCCGGUACAAAGGGUUGCGAAGCCGUGAGGUGGAGCGAAUCUCAAAAAGCCGGCCUCAGUUCGGAUUGGAGGCUGCAACUCGCCUCCAUGAAGUCGGAAUCGCUAGUAACCGCAGAUCAGCUACGUUGCGGUGAAUACGUUCCCGGGCCUU
rnacentral:rRNA from 1 species